rnacentral:rRNA from 1 species
GGGUUGUGAGGUUAAGCGACUAAGCGUACACGGUGGAUGCCCUGGCAGUCAGAGGCGAUGAAGGACGUGCUAAUCUGCGAUAAGCGUCGGUAAGGUGAUAUGAACCGUUAUAACCGGCGAUUUCCGAAUGGGGAAACCCAGUGUGAUUCGUCACACUAUCAUUAACUGAAUCCAUAGGUUAAUGAGGCGAACCGGGGGAACUGAAACAUCUAAGUACCCCGAGGAAAAGAAAUCAACCGAGAUUCCCCCAGUAGCGGCGAGCGAACGGGGAGCAGCCCAGAGCCUGAAUCAGUGUGUGUGUUAGUGGAAGCGUCUGGAAAGGCGCGCGAUACAGGGUGACAGCCCCGUACACAAAAAUGCACAUGCUGUGAGCUCGAUGAGUAGGGCGGGACACGUGGUAUCCUGUCUGAAUAUGGGGGGACCAUCCUCCAAGGCUAAAUACUCCUGACUGACCGAUAGUGAACCAGUACCGUGAGGGAAAGGCGAAAAGAACCCCGGCGAGGGGAGUGAAAAAGAACCUGAAACCGUGUACGUACAAGCAGUGGGAGCACGCUUAGGCGUGUGACUGCGUACCUUUUGUAUAAUGGGUCAGCGACUUAUAUUCUGUAGCAAGGUUAACCGAAUAGGGGAGCCGAAGGGAAACCGAGUCUUAACUGGGCGUUAAGUUGCAGGGUAUAGACCCGAAACCCGGUGAUCUAGCCAUGGGCAGGUUGAAGGUUGGGUAACACUAACUGGAGGACCGAACCGACUAAUGUUGAAAAAUUAGCGGAUGACUUGUGGCUGGGGGUGAAAGGCCAAUCAAACCGGGAGAUAGCUGGUUCUCCCCGAAAGCUAUUUAGGUAGCGCCUCGUGAAUUCAUCUCCGGGGGUAGAGCACUGUUUCGGCAAGGGGGUCAUCCCGACUUACCAACCCGAUGCAAACUGCGAAUACCGGAGAAUGUUAUCACGGGAGACACACGGCGGGUGCUAACGUCCGUCGUGAAGAGGGAAACAACCCAGACCGCCAGCUAAGGUCCCAAAGUCAUGGUUAAGUGGGAAACGAUGUGGGAAGGCCCAGACAGCCAGGAUGUUGGCUUAGAAGCAGCCAUCAUUUAAAGAAAGCGUAAUAGCUCACUGGUCGAGUCGGCCUGCGCGGAAGAUGUAACGGGGCUAAACCAUGCACCGAAGCUGCGGCAGCGACGCUUAUGCGUUGUUGGGUAGGGGAGCGUUCUGUAAGCCUGCGAAGGUGUGCUGUGAGGCAUGCUGGAGGUAUCAGAAGUGCGAAUGCUGACAUAAGUAACGAUAAAGCGGGUGAAAAGCCCGCUCGCCGGAAGACCAAGGGUUCCUGUCCAACGUUAAUCGGGGCAGGGUGAGUCGACCCCUAAGGCGAGGCCGAAAGGCGUAGUCGAUGGGAAACAGGUUAAUAUUCCUGUACUUGGUGUUACUGCGAAGGGGGGACGGAGAAGGCUAUGUUGGCCGGGCGACGGUUGUCCCGGUUUAAGCGUGUAGGCUGGUUUUCCAGGCAAAUCCGGAAAAUCAAGGCUGAGGCGUGAUGACGAGGCACUACGGUGCUGAAGCAACAAAUGCCCUGCUUCCAGGAAAAGCCUCUAAGCAUCAGGUAACAUCAAAUCGUACCCCAAACCGACACAGGUGGUCAGGUAGAGAAUACCAAGGCGCUUGAGAGAACUCGGGUGAAGGAACUAGGCAAAAUGGUGCCGUAACUUCGGGAGAAGGCACGCUGAUAUGUAGGUGAAGUCCCUCGCGGAUGGAGCUGAAAUCAGUCGAAGAUACCAGCUGGCUGCAACUGUUUAUUAAAAACACAGCACUGUGCAAACACGAAAGUGGACGUAUACGGUGUGACGCCUGCCCGGUGCCGGAAGGUUAAUUGAUGGGGUCAGCGCAAGCGAAGCUCUUGAUCGAAGCCCCGGUAAACGGCGGCCGUAACUAUAACGGUCCUAAGGUAGCGAAAUUCCUUGUCGGGUAAGUUCCGACCUGCACGAAUGGCGUAAUGAUGGCCAGGCUGUCUCCACCCGAGACUCAGUGAAAUUGAACUCGCUGUGAAGAUGCAGUGUACCCGCGGCAAGACGGAAAGACCCCGUGAACCUUUACUAUAGCUUGACACUGAACAUUGAGCCUUGAUGUGUAGGAUAGGUGGGAGGCUU